rnacentral:ribozyme from 1 species
GGGGUGUGCAAUAGACUUACCUCUACGUGGUACACCCUGGGCAACGUAUACUAAUACGGCAAAAAGUCUAUA